ACGGGCUGGUGCCGGGAGUGGACUUCAAGGCUGCGAUGGAGGC
rnacentral:tRNA from 1 species